ACAUACAUACCAUACUUAUAACCAUAUAUACAUACCAUACAUAUAACCAUACAUACAUAGGGGAAAGUCGCUGAUUCUGUGCAAACCAUUGGGGAAUCAUUAGAGACAAGUUGCCUGCGCUCUGGAAAAACCUUGAAGAAGGGAGAAGGCCCUAGGUGGAAAAAAAGAGAAAGGUUCCGGUUCUCCUUCUCAGGCCCUUCUUGGUUAGUAACUCUGCCAUCACAAGGCCCUUAGCUCUCCUGCUCCUGCCCCUCAUCAUCACGGCCUUAACUAGAUAUGUAAAUUCCCACUUAGGAGUUACUGAGCUGAUGGUAACUAAGUCCCAAUAUGAACAGGUAUCCACCACAGAUUCAAGGAUCUGACUCAAGACACAACUCAAGGGGAGAAUAUGACGGCCAACAUUAUGUUGAUGGCUAACUGUAUAUUUAAAAGUUUAAAAUUUGCUUAACAGACCUACAAAGCAAAAAUGGACUUACAAAUGUUAAGGGUGCUAAGGGUUAAUGUUUGUAAUUGUCUGGUUUUGUACAACUUUAACAAAAGCACUGUUUCUGCUUCUGUAAAUAAAAGCUUGCUUUGUGGGAGAUGACCUUCUGCUUGUUCUGUAGACAGAAUAUAACUUUGCCUUUAAAAUCCUGACUAGAUAGGCUGGUGCUACAUCUGGGAAUCUAGUUCCGAGUGUAAACCUCGCACAGCAUAUAAAUUAAAGCUUCUUCUUUCUUAAAAUUUACGAAUGGCCAGAUUGGUAAAUCUCUGAAUGACCCGGACUCAUCACAAUGCUGUGACCAUGGAUCACACAGAAGCUGUUAUUCUUGAACAGCUGUGCCUCGCCCCAGCUUGGACCAAGGCAAUGGCUGAAGGCUUCACACUGUUCCUGCAGUGGGAAGUCCUGACUGCAGCUCUCUCUCACUGUCCACCCAGCGGUAACCUGAAGUAUUGAUUAAAUGAAGAUGCAGGAGCCAGAUGCAGGAGUGAAAACCUGCUACCCAGAGAGUCAGAGAAAGCUGCCAGCUGAUCCUC